AUUAUCGGGUCUUGGCACCAAUUCCCAAGCAUCAUUACGUUUGAAUUGGUUAAGCUCCUCUUGCAUUGCCAAGGUCUAAUGCUCAUCCCCAAUUGCUUCAGAAAUGGUUUUAGGUUCUAUUUGUGAAACAAAAGCCAUAUGUCCUACAUUAUCUUUAAGAAGGUUUCGUGUACUUACCCCUUUCUCGAUGUUGCCAAUUACCUUGUCAAGAGGAUGGUCUUUAGACGUCCUCCAAGCUUUAGGCAUN
rnacentral:lncRNA from 1 species